rnacentral:rRNA from 1 species
ACGUAGGUGGAAAGCGUUAUCCGGAUUUACUGGGUGUAAAGGGCGCGUAGGCGGGAAUGCAAGUCAGAUGUGAAAUCUCCGGGCUCAACCCGGAAGUUGCAUUUGAAACUGUAUUUCUUGAGUGUCGGAGGGGUAGAUGGAAUUCCUAGUGUGGCGGUGAGGUGCGUGGAGAUGAGGGGGGACAGGAGUGGGGUUGGCAAGCUGCUGGAUGAUAGCAUAUGCGUGGGCGCGAGUGCGGGGGGGCCAAAGAG